rnacentral:tRNA from 1 species
GAGGGCAUAGCUCAGUGGUAGAGCAUGUGCUUAGCAUGCACAAGGUCCUGGGUUCAAUCCCCGGUACCUCCA